ACUUGUCUAUUCACUUGAAGCAAAUUCCUUACAGACAAAAGUCUGCCAAGAGACAGCUGAUCAAGGUGGACCCCAUCUGUUGCCAGCAGACCUGGUGCCAGAUGAACUGCCCCAUGAUUGAAAAAAAAUAAUAUUCCUCUGACAGCCCUAGCUUCUCGGCCAUGUAUUGAUCAGGAAUGUAAUGUUUUGGAAGAAGACGAGAGUCCAAGCCUCUUAGAUGGCUGAGCUAGUGCCUAGCUAAAGCUAACGAAAGAAUUACCCAACAAUAAUCAAGGCCAAAACCAAACUAUUAGGUUAAAAGUUACAUGAAGACAAACAGCACAACUAUUUCAGCAUUUUAAAACACCUGAAAGAAAAAUAGCUUCAGCAUAUUUCUCCUACUUCUACCUGCUGCCCAGUAUUCCCUCCUUCCUAGAAAGCUGUGAUUGAGAAAGAGACAAAAAAAUUCAUUUUGCCUGGAUUUUGACAAUAUCAUGCUUUGUUUGUUGCAUGCAACUAGUUCCUACCUGCUGUUUUUAAAAUAGGUUUUGAUGACACGCAGUCAGCCGAAGGGCAUAUGUGAAAGUGUUUUUGUCUGAAUAACAAAACUUACUGUACAAAAGAAAAGCAAACAGUUUUCAACUAGAUCAUAGAACAGAUUCAACUCCCCACAUUAGGUUCAGUGUAAGACUCUAGGGGCAGGAUAGAGAAGGGGCAGGAAAAGGAAGGGGCAGGAUACAGCAUCAAAACAGGGGCAGAUGAGUAUGCGCCUUGCAGAAACCACAUGCUCUUAGUUUCAAGGGUCACUUUGGAUCUGCACUCUCAGCAUGUUUUCUAAAGUAUUUCCAUUUAUAUAGACACAGUUUUAGAACUAGACAUGAUCAUUAGAAAAAAACAUCAGUUGUUUUAAAUGGAGAUGAAAGCCUGUGAUGCAGUUUGCACAGCAGACUUCACUAGAAAUGAAGAAAAUGACCAGGAAAUAAAAACCUGCUAUAAAGGAUUUUUGCAAGUUUUUCCUCUGAUGAUGUUGUUAUAUGCUUUCCUUUUCUUCAGUUGUAGUCCAUCUGGGUUUUUUAUCUACUGGAAGUGCUGAAGACUAGUUGCAAACGGAGAUCUCCUCUAUCUUCUUCCUUCUCACGUAUCAAAAAGGGUGGAACUGAAAGGACAUAUUAAGUGAAAGAUUUUAAAAAGAAAUCAUUUGAAACAGACUACAUAAAGACUAAUAGACUACAUAAAAACAGCACGUGAAUUAUUAAGCACGGAAUCGUCAUUCCAUAUGCUUUCUUCUGCAGAAACCUGCAUAAUGUUCAUGGUUCCUCUUUCAUUGUGUUUUGUUGGUUUGUUUUAAUUUUCCUCUGUGUGCACUGAAGAAAAAGCAAAACAUUUACAUCUUCAUGGAUUAUCUAUCUUCUUGUUUUAGUUUCAGCUGAGAUGAAAUUGUUUUCUUCAGAGUGCCUGGUAUGAUGCUAUGGUUUUGGUUCUAGGAGAAAAACAAUGUUGAUAACACACCAAUAUUUACAGAUGCUGCUUAGCAAUGUUGUACAGAGCCAAGGCCCUUCACAGCCAAGGGCCCAGGGAGCCAGGAGGGAACAGAAUUAGGACAGCUGGCUUAAAUUUGCCAAAGGGAUAUUUCAUUCCAUAUUACGUCAUGUGAAAGUUGUUUUGAAGGGGUUUGGAUAUCACAUCGCUCUCUUCUGCUGCUCAGGGGGUGAGCUGGGCAUCAGUUGGGAGGUGGUGAGCAAUUGCCUGUGCAACACUUGUAUACAUUUAUACAUAUAUUUAUAUAAAUCAUAACUACUAUCAUUUUCUCUUUCUCUAUCUUAAUAAAUAGUUUUAUCU
ensembl:lncRNA